rnacentral:ncRNA from 1 species
AAAGGGUCGCGAUCUCGCGAGGGUGAGCUAACUCCAAAAACCCGUCCUCAGUUCGGAUUGCAGGCUGCAACUCGCCUGCAUGAAGCAGGAAUCGCUAGUAAUCGCCGGUCAGCCAUACGGCGGUGAAUCCGUUCCCGGGCCUUGUACACAGCGCCCGUCACACUAUAGGAGCUGGCCAUGUUUGAAGUCAUUACCCUUAACCGUAAGGAGGGGGAUGCCUAAGGCUAGGCUUGCGACUGG